CAUCGCCUCUUGCAAAGCUAAAGAAUAAGAGGUCCCGCCUGCCCUGUGACUAUUAGUUUAACGGCCGCGGUAUUUUGACCGUGCAAAGGUAGCGCAAUCACUUGUCUUUUAAAUGAAGACCUGUAUGAAUGGCACAACGAGGGCUUAACUGUCUCCUCUUUCAAGUCAAUGAAAUUGAUCUCCCCGUGCAGAAGCGGGGAUAUAAACAUAAGACGAGAAGACCCUAUGGAGCUUUAGACACCAAAGAAGAUCCUGUCAAGUAACCCUCUAUAAAGGCCUGAACUAAUGGAACCCUUCCCUAAUGUCUUUGGUUGGGGCGACCGCGGGGAAACAAAAAACCCCCACGUGGAAAGGGAGCACCCCCUCCUACAACUAAGAGCCGCAGCUCUAAUUAACAGAAUAUCUGACCAAUAAGAUCCGGCAAUGCCGAUCAACGGACCGAGUUACCCUAGGGAUAACAGCGCAAUCCCCUUUUAGAGCCCAUAUCGACAAGGGGGUUUACGACCUCGAUGUUGGAUCAGGACAUCCUAAUGGUGCAGCCGCUAUUAAGGGUCCGUUUGUUCAACGGUUAAAGUCCUACGUGA
rnacentral:rRNA from 1 species